rnacentral:rRNA from 1 species
AACAAACGCUGGCGGCGUGCCUAAUACAUGCAAGUCGAACGAGGAAAGCUUUCGGGUGAGUACUAGUGGCGCACGGGUGAGGAAUAUAUGGGUAAUCUGCCCUCGAGUUGGGGAUAACCAGUCGAAAGACUGGCUAAUACCGAAUAAGACCACAGGAUCUGCGGAUCUAGGGGUCAAAGGUUUUUCGCUUGAGGAUGAGCCCAUACGGGAUUAGCUAGUUGGCGAGGUAAUGGCUCACCAAGGCUACGAUCCCUAACUGGUCUUAGAGGAUGAUCAGUCACACUGGAACUGAGUCACGGUCCAGACUCCUACGGGAGGCAGCAGUAGGGAAUAUUGCACAAUGGGGGAAACCCUGAUGCAGCGACGCCGCGUGAGUGAUGAAGGCCUUCGGGUCGUAAAGCUCUGUCGUAUGGGACUAACACAAUGAAGGUACCAUGCAAGAAAGGAUCGGCUAACUUCGUGCCAGCCGCCGCAGUAA